rnacentral:rRNA from 1 species
UACGUAGGGUGCAAGCGUUGUCCGGAAUUAUUGGGCGUAAAGAGCUCGUAGGCGGUCUGUUGCGUCGGCUGUGAAAACCCGAGGCUCAACCUCGGGCCUGCAGCCGAUACGGGCAGACUAGAGUUCGGCAGGGGAGACUGGAAUUCCUGGUGUAGCGGUGAAAUGCGCAGAUAUCAGGAGGAACACCAAUGGCGAAGGCAGCUCGCUGGGACGUGACUGACGCUGAGACGCGAAAGCGUGGGGAACAAACAGG